rnacentral:rRNA from 1 species
UACAGAGGGCUCUAGCGUUAUGCGGAAUCACUGGGCUUAAAGCGUGUGUAGGCGGAUCGUUAAGUGCCUUGUGAAAUCCCACGGCUCAACCGUGGAACUGCUUGGCAUACUGGCGGUCUUGAGCAACCUAGGGGCGAGCGGAACAAAUGGUGGAGCGGUGAAAUGCGUAGAUAUCAUUUGGAACGCCAAUGGUGAAAACAGCUCGCUGGGGGUUUGCUGACGCUGAGACACGAAAGCCAGGGGAGCAAACGGG